CAAAGGAGGAUUGUGUCUGUGCUUUUUAUUGACUUUGGUUUGUUGGGGAGAAACAGAUACACGUGCACACGGGUGCCCUCAGAGACCAGAAGAGGGAGUCAGGUGCUGAGUUGGAUCAGUGUCUACAAACACAUAAGACACAUAUCAAGAGACUCAGGAAGAAGGCUGUCACUUAUCUCCUCAAAGCAGGGAUGAGUGUUAGGAUAUCCAAGAGAGAAUAUUCUGACAGGAGUUCGAUGUGAAACUGAAGAUGGAAAAGCAUCACAGGGAGAAAAAAAGGCAUUCAAGGCAGAAGAAGGACUACCAGAGGACAUACACUUUGAGAAUACAUCACACGUUGAACAUGUGUAGAGGACUUCAACAUGCCUUUGUUUCCAGACUUGCACGUGGGUAUCAUAGGAGGGGCUACACUUGGUGAAAUGGGUGUUACUAUAAAUACGGAAGAGUAAUCCCUCAUCAAAAUGGGUGAUCCAGCUGUUUCAACGGCGGCUGCAAGCAGUUGCUUCUCAUCUCUGCACCAGAGGGCAGUCUUUCAUCAAAACCAUGGAAACACUAGGGCAGGACUCUGCUGAUGAACACAGAGACCCUCCAAUCACAGACCUUCUAGGAAGAGCAACUCCUCUGGAAAGAAGAAUGAAGAAAUGAUGUGAUGCUAGACUCUUGUAUGUCAAUCACAGGAAGAAUUGGCAUGCUUAGAUGACCUCCAAUGGACACUGUACCUUUAAUGUUGCUCAAGGGUGAACAUCUAGAGGCCAUAGAUGAGUCCCUAAAACUAAAGCAAAGGGUAGUUUGAGAAUGAAAGCAGAAGGAGAGAAAGGGCGGUAGGCAGGAGGAGGGAUGGAAGAAGAGAGGGAAGGAAGAAGAGGCAAGAGAGAAUUUCCCAUGCGAUCAAAUAUCUCAAUUCCUGAGGACGUUUUGUGAACACACAAAACGUUAUCUUAUUGGUAAUCAGAUUUGAAGGUUUCAGAAUGCAGCUACCAAAAGCAAUUUGAAAAAACAGUUUAUACUGGGGCUGUUAUAAGUUCAAACUAUAAAAUACCAUUAAGAGGAUUUACCUAGUGUCUGGGAAGAUAGUUCGGCCAGUAGAACUUGCCCUGAAAGCCUUUCGACCUGAGUUCUAGCCCUACAGACCACAAAGAGGUGGAAGAAGACAAUGGCUGCACAAAGGUGUCCUCUGACCUCCAUGUCCCUACCAUGGUACAUGUGCCCACAUGUAUAUCACAUGACAAUACACAUUAAUAAUAGAGAACGGCAAUAUAUAAUAUAUUUUUAAGAUAUUUUAAAG